UCAACAAGAUUCACUUGAAGACGCGAAUGAAGGAAGCAGGAAGACAUGCGCGUCAGGAUCAUCGUGAUGCAACAAUUUCAGCUACCAAUAAGAGCAGCCCACUGGAUUUCGAGGAAUACAAAACACUGAACUUCUGCGCUGGAGACAGACACCCAGUCAUCCAAAGGCACCAAAGAAAACAAGGGGCUCGUGUCGGAUUAUGAAAAGUCAGACUUUCCGAGGUCGACUCUUUUGGUCAUCAGUGAGCACAUAAUUAAAGCCCAGCAUCUAAACGAUGAAUGCCAUUUCAGCACGCGCUUUUGCUGAAGCACUACAUUCAAGCGCAAAGGCUCGGGCGCAUUCUUUCCCUCGCGCGCGGACACACUUUCUCAGCCCCGCAAAUACCUGGCAAUCAUGCAGUCUAAGAAUUUCAAAAGGUAAAUUUUCUCGUUUUAUACCUUUUCUUUACCUGUAUGUCUAACUGCUGGAAAACUGUACCCUUUACUCCUUAUGAUGGUUUAUGGCACUGGUGCAAACUUUAAUCAAUAAGGAUAUUAAUAAGGCUUGCAAAGUGAGUUCUUGCAUUUCUUGCACACCUAAGAACACACCAAGAACGCGAACAUGACUGAGCUCUGAGCAUACUUUCUCAGGCUGGUAUGUGCAGACUUAUCAACUACACACUUGACUAAUAUCUUGACUAAUUUUUUAAAAAAUCUGACAAACCUUUAGUAGUCUAUUCUAAUUCUUUAUCCAGCUGGGCGCAUUAGGUGUACCAGAUUUCCCUUAAAAAAAUCCCUUAAAAUGUUCAAUCCCUUAAAAUUAUUAUUUUAUUUUAUUUUAUUGUAGUGCAAGUUACGAGAUGCAAGGAGCCAUGUUAAAUAGAUUCUAUUAUUAUUAUUAUUAUUAUUAUUAU